CUUGUAAAUUAUUCUGUUGUGGAAAUUGAGCAUUGCCGGUCUUUAAAGGGAGGGACCUGGAGAUUUGCCUUUCACAAAGGGUGAGACCUUCAGCCUUUGCCAGAAUGUAAAGUGAUUUCAUUUCUGCCUCUCUUGAAUGAUGACAGUCAAAAUUUGUGCAAAUGUUGAACAAAAGCAUGGUGUUAUUUCUUGCUUGAGAAAUGUCUCUGAAGAGGGAAUGAGUAGGAAUGGAUAGAAUGGGGAGAUCAUUUGGGGAAAAUAGCUUCUUAUAUGUUACACAUAGUAAGAAAUAGGUAGAAAUAUAUGAAGAGAGGGAAAUAGAAAUGAAAUUGUAAAAAUUCCCAGCCUGGAGUGACGAAAGCUGGUGUAUCAGCCUCUGGUGAUGUAUUGAAGGUGACAGCUAAGUCGCUUUAGCACCUGCAUAAAAUAUUAAAGGGCCAGUUGUGCAUUUAUCACUCCAUCCCUUUUAGGGUUGAUAAAUGAGAAUCCAGGAACCUGCUCUGCACCUGCAGCACUGCAAGCCCUUAGGGCUCCCAGACAAACACAUUUUAUUUUUCCUCCUUCUUUUGCUCCUUCCCCAGUGACGGGGAAAUCAGUUACUGUGGAGAGAGUGAGUUAUGGCAAAAUUUGACCUCUUGUGAGCUUUAUUGGUGAAUGUAAUUUUAGCUAGAAAGCUGGCCCCUUUCUUACACUCAGCCCUUUGGCCUCUAAGAGGAGGAUUUACUAAACUGUUCAUUGGCAUGAACCUCUGGCACUAAGGAGAGUCUCUCGCAAGCAAUCCACAUAGUGCAUGCCUGAUGAGAGGAGGAACACUGGCUCCCUCGGUUCAAUAAAGAGGAUGGGAUGUGAUCUCUUCCUGUAUCAGCUUGGAUUUUAAUUUAAAAUAUCUCAAGGGGAAAGGCUACUACAUAAGGGAGUUGGACUUAAAAGCCAGCUGUGUGCUCAGUGGCAGCCUGGCACUCCUGAUCUGCUCUUGCCUUCCUCUGAAAUUAAAUUGUAGCUGGGUUGUAGAUGAUCAGGAGCACAGAGGCACAGGAGCAGCUUCUUUAGGUUUUGAAGGCUACCCAGUGAAGCUCACACUGUCACUUCCUGUGUCUGUAGCCUUAGCUACCUUAAUUUUUUUGUGCCCACAUGGAGAGUUGCAUCUGAGGUCUCACGUGACUGAUGAGACCAUGCAAGGUCUUAGACUAUGUUUAGGUAGUACAGUCACUACAAUCCAUAGGGGAGAAGCAUGGGACAUCUGCAUGCCUCUAUUGUUGUCACUGCUACUCCUGGUUAGGAAAAGCUACUCAGUUAAUUCCUGCCCUGUUUUGUGCCUUCAUAGUUUCUUCCUUCACCCCCAACAAACAGCUGAGUUUGAAAGCACAAUCUUCUACUUCCUUUUAUGUGGAUACUCUGCUGUAUUCACCUGAUCAAUGUUCCUAGUUGGUUUUGGGAUAACUCAGUGAAGUGUGAUCUGAAGCUUUCAUAGUGCUUUGGUCCUAUGGAGACCCUCUUUCAAAUGAAGCUUCAGGUGGAUAAAAUGUGUAAUUGAUGCAAAUUACACAAAGUACUUGCUCCUUGUUGCAUUUUCUUCCUUAUUUUAAGGAAUUCAAAGAAGGGUUAAUUUGUGUUGUAUAGAUCAACUGCUUUCCUCCACCAGAAGUUAGACAGAUUCUAGCAUCAGUCAGGGCUGUAACCUCUGCUAGAUGGCUGCACAUGCAUGGACAGGUAUUUCUGUAUUUCAUAGUUAGAAAGAGCCCUGCUUCCAUCAGUAUCAGAAGACUAGGAGAAGAAUAGAGCACAACUAGAUGUGGUUCUAAACCCCUCUGUAAUUACCCUGAUGAGAAGGCUUUUGGAUUAGACUCUUUCCCUUUGUGGUGCUGGAUGAAAGGUGUCUGUA